rnacentral:tRNA from 1 species
GAUCUGAGGCUAAGGCGGGCGUAUCGCUACCUUGGCAUGGUAGAGGCCGCGGGUUCAAAUCCCGCUCGGUCCA